rnacentral:rRNA from 1 species
CAGUCGCCACGGGAAUACGAGGGGGGCAAGCGUUGUUCGGAAUUAUUGGGCGUAAAGGGCGCGUAGGCGGUUUGGCAAGUUUGGUGUGAAAUCUUCGGGCUCAACUCGAAGUCUGCAUCGAAAACUGCCGGGCUUGAGUGUGGGAGAGGUGAGUGGAAUUUCCAGUGUAGCGGUGAAAUGCGUAGAUAUCGGAAGGAACACCUGUGGCGAAAGCGGCUCACUGGACCACAACUGACGCUGAGGCGCGAAAGCAUGGGGAGCAAACAGGAUUAGAUACCCCUGUAGUCCCUGUCUCUUAUAA